rnacentral:rRNA from 1 species
UACGGGGGGGGCAAGCGUUGUUCGGAAUUACUGGGCGUAAAGGGCUCGUAGGUGGCCAACUAAGUCGGACGUGAAAUCCCCAGGCUCAACUUGGGAACUGCGUCCGAUACUGGAUGGCUUGAAUUCGGGAGAGGGAUGCAGAAUUCCAGGUGUAGCGGUGAAAUGCGUAGAUAUCUGGAGGAAUACCGGUGGCGAAGGCGGCAUCCUGGACCAACACUGACGCUGAUGAGCGAAAGCCAGGGGAGCAAACGGG